UACAGAGGGUGCGAGCGUUAAUCGGAAUUACUGGGCGUAAAGCGUGCGUAGACGGUUAUUUAAGUCGGAUGUGAAAGCCCUGGGCUUAACCUGGGAAUUGCACUCGAUACUGGCAAGCUGGAGUACGGUAGAGGAUGGUGGAAUUCCCGGUGUAGCGGUGAAAUGCGUAGAGAUCGGGAGGAACAUCUGUGGCGAAGGCGGCCAUCUGGACCAGUACUGACGCUGAGGCACGAAAGCGUGGGGAGCAAACAGG
rnacentral:rRNA from 1 species